CUGCGCAUGGCCGGGCCCGGCUACGGCUGGACCCUUGGCGAGGCGCUGGUCAGCGAGGGGUUGGCGGGACGGUUCGUGAGCCAUCUGUUCGGC
rnacentral:tRNA from 1 species